AGCUCCAAUAGCGUAUACUAAUGUUGUUGCAGUUAAAAAGCUCGUAGUCGGAUUUCAGUAUUAGGCCCACCUACUUCUUUGUAGCGUGGUUCUUUACUUCUUUAACAGAAUCUUUCAUCGCAUUAAUUUACGGUGUUUGGGGCCUGUUUCUUUUACUUUGAGAAAAUUAGAGUGUUCAAAGCGGGUUUUCGCCUGGAUAUUACUCUUGGAAUAAUAAUAUAGGACUUUGGUUCUUUUUUGUUGGUGACUUAGAACCGAAGUAAUGAUUGAUAGGGACAGUUGGGGUCAUUCGUACUGCAAAGCGAGAGGUGAAAUUCAUGGACCUUUGUAUGACGAACUACUGCGAAAGCAUUUGACUAGGAUGUUCCCG
rnacentral:rRNA from 1 species